rnacentral:rRNA from 1 species
UACGUAGGUGGCAAGCGUUGUCCGGAAUUAUUGGGCGUAAAGCGCGCGCAGGUGGUUCCUUAAGUCUGAUGUGAAAGCCCACGGCUCAACCGUGGAGGGUCAUUGGAAACUGGGGGGACUUGAGUGCAGAAGAGGAAAGUGGAAUUCCCGGUGUAGCGGUGAAAAUGCGCAGAUAUCGGGAAGAACACCCGUGGCGAAGGCGGCUUUCUGGGACGGUACUGACGC